rnacentral:rRNA from 1 species
CCUACGGGAGGCAGCAGUGGGGAAUAUUGGGCAAUGGGCGCAAGCCUGACCCAGCAACGCCGCGUGAAGGAAGAAGGCUUUCGGGUUGUAAACUGCUUUUAUAAGGGACGAAGAAGGUGACGGUACCUGAGGAAUAAGCAACGGCUAACGACGUGCCAGCAGCCGAGGUAAGACGUAGGUGGCAAGCAUUAUCCGGAUUUAUUGGGUGUAAAGGGCGUGUAGGGGGGAGCGCAAGUCAGAUGUGAAAACUCAGGGCUGAACCCUGAGCCUGCAGUUGAAACUGUGUUGCUUGAGUGUUGGAGAGGCAAUCGGAAUUCCGGGUGUAGGAGUGAAAUGCGUAGAUAUACGGAGGAACACCAGUGGCGGAGGCGGCCUGCUGGAC